GAUUUACCUUUUAAGGACUAAAUUCCGCAAAAAUUCUCUCAGCCGCCCUCUCCUUCCUUCCAACGAUAAGACACAGAGGCGGAGGAACGAUUUCAAUUUUUGUUUUCCUGAUUGUUGAUUGGAUUCUGAUCCAUAUAGUCUCCCAAGGGUCGAUUCCUUCCUUCUUUCUCCAACUGAGUGACAAUGGCUGGCACCAAGGGAUCAGAGAGUGUUAGGAGUUUGAUGAACCCAGGGAAAAGUGCUUUGCUCCCUCCAAAGAUCCCGUUUCCUAGUGGUUUGAUGGGUUCAAGGCACAGCCACAAGGUUAGUGUUGAGAAAGCUCACCAGCGGACAUCCUCUGAGAGCCAUUUGGUAGAAGAAGAGCUUCCCUUUUGGCUUGAUGAUCUUCUCAAUGAGCCUGAGAGCCCUGCUCGCAAGUCUGGUCAUAGGCGUUCGGCAAGCGACUCUUAUGCUUACCUUGACGUGGCUAAUGCUGCUACAACCAUAAGUGAUUUCAGCUAUAGGAAUCCAGCUGCUUCUAUUCAAAGAGGAAUUCAAGAGCUUGAUCCUAGUCAGGACGCUUCCUUUUACGCUGAUGGUAGUUUCCUGAAGCAGAGGAAUCGACCAUCUGGGGCUCGUCCUUCUUGGACUCGAGAGAGUGUUGGUGGUGGGAAACACAUGGGAGCAUCAUCAUAUAUGUCUCAAGAUGCAACAGCAGAAACAAAGAGGUUCUCUUCUGAGGAAAACAACUCCAAUCCUCAGCCUGGGGCGUAUGAGGCUGAUAAUACAAAACGAGCCAAACAGCAAUUUGCACAACGAUCACGGGUACGUAAGCUCCAGUACAUAUCUGAGCUAGAAAGGAAUGUACAAACAUUGCAGGCAGAAGGCUCCAAAGUUUCAGCUGAGCUUGAUUUUCUCAACCAGAGGAAUCUUAUUCUGAGUUUGGAAAAUAAAGCUCUUAAGCACCGCCUUGAAAGUAUAGCUCAGGAGAAGCUUAUCAAACAACGUUAGUUUCUUCUCCAAAAAAAUGUUCUUCUAUCUUCUUUUAGAGACCUGAAGUAUGAAUUUUCAAGUAGUAGCUGGUCAUCAAGAUUGAACAUUACUGGAACAAGAGGUGCUGGAAAGGGAGAUUGGAAGACUACGAGCUCUGCAUCAACAACAACAGCAUACUCGUCAACAAUCAGCAAGUCACAAACGUGCAAGUAGCAAAGAUCUGGACUCUCAAUUCUCGACUCUUUCCCUGAACGCUAAAGAUUCCAACUGCAGGCGUGACUCUUUAUCUGUGAUGGGUCAGUUCCACUUUUAGUCAGUGUAUCUGAGUGUCUCUCUACCCACGGGUUCAUUAGCUCUAAGAGGGCAUGCCGUUUCAACAAGAUCAGGCCCUACUCUAUUGUCUCGUAAUGCUCCCUCACUUUUUUUUAUGGUCUAGUGCACCUGGUUUCCAUUACCUGAAAACCUAUAUUACUUCCAGCAUAUGGCUUGCCUGAGGUGCUUUAGUUUGAAGAUCAUACACCUGGACUUCAUUAAUCUGGUGUUGUUGUGGUGACUUGUGGUUUGGUAAAAGAUACACUGAUAUGUGGAGUUGUACUGUUUAUUUGUUUGUAUUUUAUGUAACUGGUCAAAUGGUGCAUUCCCGUGGAGUGAAUGGUUCAUGUAAAGUUGAUGACUUUGUAAACUUCCCCCAAGUGUGAGGAUAAUUUGAUUGCUUGAGAA